UAGGUGCAACCAUAUUAUAUACACAUGAAAGAUACAUCAAUGCUUUAAAAUGUCAACAUAGAUUUUCCAUUAUUUGUUGGAUAUAUAUAUAUAUAUAUAUAUAUUCCCCUUUAACCACGAGCAAAGUCUACUUGAUUAUUUAAUGGGCCAGUAAUUGAACCAUAAGACAUGUUCUAGAAACAUCCACAGGUUUUGGUUUUGGGUGGAUAAGCAUUUGGAGUUGCACUUAGCUUCUCACUCAUUUUUUU
rnacentral:lncRNA from 1 species